AGUGAACGCUGGCGGUAGGCCUAACACAUGCAAGUCGAACGGCAGCACAGUAAGAGCUUGCUCUUACGGGUGGCGAGUGGCGGACGGGUGAGGAAUACAUCGGAAUCUACUUUUUCGUGGGGGAUAACGUAGGGAAACUUACGCUAAUACCGCAUACGACCUACGGGUGAAAGCAGGGGAUCUUCGGACCUUGCGCGAUUGAAUGAGCCGAUGUCGGAUUAGCUAGUUGGCGGGGUAAAGGCCCACCAAGUCGACGAUCCGUAGCUGGUCUGAGAGGAUGAUCAGCCACACUGGAACUGAGACACGGUCCAGACUCCUACGGGAGGCAGCAGUGGGGAAUAUUGGACAAUGGGCGCAAGCCUGAUCCAGCCAUACCGCGUGGGUGAAGAAGGCCUUCGGGUUGUAAAGCCCUUUUGUUGGGAAAGAAAAGCAGCAGGUUAAUACCCCGCUGUUCUGACGGUACCCAAAGAAUAAGCACCGGCUAACUUCGU
rnacentral:rRNA from 1 species